GAUGAACGCUGGCGGCGUGCCUAAUACAUGCAAGUCGAGCGAACGGACGAGAAGCUUGCUUCUCUGAUGUUAGCGGCGGACGGGUGAGUAACACGUGGAUAACCUACCUAUAAGACUGGGAUAACUUCGGGAAACCGGAGCUAAUACCGGAUAAUAUUUUGAACCGCAUGGUUCAAAAGUGAAAGACGGUCUUGCUGUCACUUAUAGAUGGAUCCGCGCUGCAUUAGCUAGUUGGUAAGGUAACGGCUUACCAAGGCAACGAUGCAUAGCCGACCUGAGAGGGUGAUCGGCCACACUGGAACUGAGACACGGUCCAGACUCCUACGGGAGGCAGCAGUAGGGAAUCUUCCGCAAUGGGCGAAAGCCUGACGGAGCAACGCCGCGUGAGUGAUGAAGGCCUUCGGAUCGUAAAACUCUGUUAUUAGGGAAGAACAUAUGUGUAAGUAACUGUGCACAUCUUGACGGUACCUAAGCAGAAAGCCACGGCUAACUACGU
rnacentral:rRNA from 1 species